GCAUAGUGCUGUAGGCCAUUGCAUGAACCAUCCUGAUGAAUAGGCAGGUGGGAGAUGACAGUGUGGGGUGACAGGCUUUUCACAGCUUCUGAUAGGUUAAUGCAAGCUGCUAAGCACUGUAAAGGAUCCUCAGCAUUUAACCACCAUCUAUUUCCAUUUAAAGGAUUGUGUGCUGAAUCUAAUAUGUCAUCAAUGUGGUUUUCCACAAAUGCAAUGCGUGCAUCAUAGCAGAGCUUCUCUAUGCCCCCUGCAUAAAGACUUGCUAAAUGUACUUUUAGCCAGCGCAAUCCUGACUUUCCUAGUGGUCGUCCUUCAGCAAAUUCGAGGAUUCCUCGACAGAGAUCAGAGCUCAAG
rnacentral:misc_RNA from 1 species